UACGGGGGGGGUAAGCGUUGUUCGGAAUUACUGGGCGUAAAGCGCACGUAGGCGGAUUGUUAAGUCGGGGGUGAAAUCCUGGAGCUCAACUCCAGAAUUGCCUUCGAUACUGGCUUUCUAGAGGCUGGAAGAGGUUAGUGGAAUUCCCAGUGUAGAGGUGAAAUUCGUAGAUAUUGGGAAGAACACCAGUGGCGAAGGCGGCUAACUGGUCCAGAUCUGACGCUGAGGUGCGAAAGCGUGGGGAGCAAACAGG
rnacentral:rRNA from 1 species